AUCCCUUGUAGCUGGUCAGUGCCUGAGUUAAUAAAAUUAGGGGUGUUUGGUUCCGAUUCGGUUCAGGGUUUGGCUAGGAAUAGGAACCGAACCGAAAUUUCAGUACGGUUUCGGUUCGGUUCUUCAUUAUUUCGGUUUCGGUUCGGUACGGUUCUCUGUUCUUCGGUUCGAUUCUUUCCCUCGGUGGACACCCAAGCUCACCUCAAAGCAGUUGUUCAUAUAUGUUGAUGUUGACAAUUGGAAAAUUAACUAUGACAAUUUCGUGUACUUAAUUGCUCAAUUUCACUCACAAGGGUUUAUUUCUGGCUUCCUAAAUUUUUUCUCUUUUUGGAUUGAAAAUUAUGCGGCUUCUAAACUGUAGGAUGGGAAUCAUUCUGAUCAAGGUCAUUGUCAUCUAAACUACUUAAUGCAGAGAUGGAAAAAGCA
rnacentral:misc_RNA from 1 species